CAGCAAGCAUUUGGAAGACUGUUUUAACAGAAAUCGUCUUGAUGAGUCUUCUUUGAGUCCCCUUGACGAUUAAAAAACGACGAAUCUCCCGGGCGAUCGAAAGAAGACUCAUAAAUGACCCUUCCAUAUGCUCAAAGUAUGAUUACUUUAAAAUACAAAAACGAAAUGCAAAGCAAUCGCCAAAUGAGCAUGCAGCACAAGCCGAAAUGUGCAAAUUUUGUCAUUCGAGCGUGAAAGUGCAAGUGAAGUGCAAGUGCGAAGUGCAUACAAAUAAAUUAUAUCAAUUAUAUCAAAUACAA